rnacentral:rRNA from 1 species
CUUUCGGACAAUAUACAAGGUGCUGCAUGGUUGUCGUCAGCUCGUGCCGUGAGGUGUCGGGUUAAGUCCCAUAACGAGCGCAACCCCUAUCAUUAGUUGCCAUCAGGUCAAGCUGGGGACUCUAAUGAAACUGCCUACGCAAGUAGUGAGGAAGGUGGGGAUGACGUCAAGUCAUCAUGGCCCUUAUGUCCAGGGCGACACACGUGCUACAAUGGCCGGCACAGCGGGAAGCGAAUGGGCGACCAUGAGCGGAUCCCCAUAAAAGCCGGUCCCAGUUCGGAUUGCAGUCUGCAACUCGACUCCAUGAAGUUGGAAUCGCUAGUAAUCGUGGAUCAGCAUGCCACGGUGAAUACGUUCCCGGGCCUU